UGAAUACGAGACGCUAAGGCGUCGAAGUAGUGUAUGUCACACUUCCAAGAAAAGCUUGCACUGUCAUAGAUAAAAAACGCCUGUACCAUAACCGACACAGGUGGGUAGGUAGAGUAUACUAAGGGGCGCGAGAUAACUCUCUCUAAGGAACUCGGCAAAAUAACUCCGUAACUUCGGGAGAAGGAGUGCCUUAUUUAUAAGGCUGCAAUAACAAGAUCCAAGCAACUGUUUAUCAAAAACACAGGUCUCCGCUAAGUCGUAAGACGAUGUAUGGGGGCUGACGCCUGCCCAGUGCCAGAAGGUUAAAGAAGUUGGUUAGCUUUUGCGAAGCUGAUAACUGAAGCCCUGGUGAACGGCGGCCGUAACAAUAACGGUCCUAAGGUAGCGAAAUUCCUUGUCGGGUAAGUUCCGACCCGCACGAAAGGCGUAAUGAUUUGGAUACUGUCUCGGAGAGGGGCUCGGUGAAAUAGACUUGUCUGUGAAGAUGCGGACUACCUGCACCAGGACAGAAAGACCCUAUGAAGCUUUACUGUAACUUGAAAUUGAAAUUGGACUUUAUUCGCGCAGCAUAGGUGGGAGGCGUUGAUUAUAAUCUCGUGGGAUUAUUGGAGCCAUCAGUGAGAUACCACUCUUGUAAUGUUAGAUUUCUAACUUUGAAUCAUUAUCUGGUCAAAGAACAGUUUCAGGCGGGCAGUUUGACUGGGGCGGUCGCCUCCUAAACGGUAACGGAGGCGUACAAAGGUUUCCUCUGAACGGUUAGAAAUCGUAUCUAGAGUGUAAAGGCAUAAGGAAGCUUGACUGUGAGACCUACAAGUCGAGCAGGGACGAAAGUCGGUCUUAGUGAUCUGACGGUACUGAGUGGAAAGGCCGUCACUCAACGGAUAAAAGUUACUCUAAGGAUAACAGGCUGAUCUCCCCCAAGAGUUCACAUCGACGGGGAGGUUUGGCACCUCGAUGUCGGCUCAUCGCAUCCUGGGGCGGUAGUACGUCCCAAGGGUUGGGCUGUUCGCCCAUGAAAGCGGUACGCGAGCUGGGUUCAGAACGUCGUGAGACAGUUCGGUCCAUAUCCGGUGUAGGCGUUAGAAUAUUGAGAGGAGCCUUCUUUAGUACGAGAGGACCGAGAAGGACAUACCUCUGGUGUACCAGUUAUCGUGCCAACGGUAAACGCUGGGUAGCUAUGUAUGGAGUGGAUAACCGCUGAAAGCAUCUAAGUGGGAAGCCCACCUCAAGAUAAGUAUUCUCAC
rnacentral:rRNA from 1 species